UUUCCGGUGGAGAAGUCUGGAGA
rnacentral:piRNA from 1 species